AGUGAACGCUGGCGGUAGGCCUAACACAUGCCAGUCGAACGGCAGCACAGGAGAGCUUGCUCUCUAGGUGGCGAGUGGCGGACGGGUGAGGAAUACAUCGGAAUCUGCCCAGUCGUGGGGGAUAACGUAGGGAGACUUACGCUAAUACCGCAUACGACCUUCGGGUGAAAGAGGGGGAUCGCAAGACCUCUCGCGAUUGGAUGAGCCGAUGUCGGAUUAGCUAGUUAGCGGGGUAAUGGCCCACCAAGGCGACGAUCCGUAGCUGGUCUGAGAGGAUGAUCAGCCACACUGGAACUGAGACACGGUCCAGACUCCUACGGGAGGCAGCAGUGGGGAAUAUUGGACAAUGGGCGCAAGCCUGAUCCAGCCAUACCGCGUGGGUGAAGAAGGCCUUCGGGUUGUAAAGCCCUUUUGUUGGGAAAGAAAUCUUUCAGGCUAAUACCCUGGGAGGAUGACGGUACCCAAAGAAUAAGCACCGGCUAACUUCGUG
rnacentral:rRNA from 1 species